GACGAACGCUGGCGGCGCGCUUAACACAUGCCAGUCGAACGGAAAGGCCUGCUUUCCCUUGUGGAUUGCGGGUACUCGAGUGGCGAACGGGUGAGUAACACGUGAGUGAUCUGCCCCCAACUUGGGUAUAAGCCUGGGAAACUGGGUCUAAUUCCCGAUAGGACUGCAGGGUGGUGCCUGUGGUGGAAAACGAUUUUCUAGUGGUUGGGGAUGAGCUCGCGGCCUAUCAGCUUGUUGGUGGGGUAAUGGCCUACCAAGGCGGCGACGGGUAGCCGGCCUGAGAGGGUGGACGGCCACAUUGGGACGGAGAUACGGCCCAGAAUACUACGGGAGGCAGCAGUGGGGAAUAUUGCACAAUGGGCGGAAGCCUGAUGCAGCGACGCCGCGUGGGGGAUGACGGCCUUCGGGUUGUAAACUCCUUUCGACCGCGAGGAAGCCACCUGGUUGGAAGGGUGGUGACGGUAGUGGUAGAAGAAGCACCGGCUAACUACGUG
rnacentral:rRNA from 1 species